ACUUGACCAAGAAGAAAAAAAAAAUGAUAUAUAUAUGAAAAGAGGUAUCAGUGCAACACAAAAAGGACAAAAGCCCAGACCAACUUCUAGGAACAAGUUGCAAGAAUGCCUUCUCUCCGUUCUAAACGAAUGAUUGAAAUGGAUAGAAAAGGACUGACAAGAUAGAGAUGAAAGAUUCAUGAUACAGCAUCCAGCUUCUUGACAGUUUUGAGUUUUGACGUUUGAUUUGAAUGAAACAUAAUUCAGCAAGCAGGAAAAGUAUAAUGCUUAUCCUAACAAAGAAGAGGGAACCUUCAUGGUACCUUGACAGUGCCAAAUUUUCCCAA
rnacentral:misc_RNA from 1 species